rnacentral:rRNA from 1 species
GACGAACGCUGGCGGCGUGCCUAAUACAUGCAAGUAGAACGCUGAAGAGAGGAGCUUGCUCUUCUUGGAUGAGUUGCGCACGGGUGAGUAACGCGUAGGUAACCUGCCUUGUAGCGGGGGAUAACUAUUGGAAACGAUAGCUAAUACCGCAUAACAAUGGAUGACCCAUGUCAUUUAUUUGAAAGGGGCAACUGCUCCACUACAAGAUGGACCUGCGUUGUAUUAGCUAGUAGGUGAGGUAACGGCUCACCUAGGCGUCGAUACAUAGCCGACCUGAGAGGGGGCGAUGCGACACUGGGACGGAGACACGGCCCAGAACCCUACGGGAGGCAGCAGGAGGGAAUCUUCGGCAAUGGGGGCAACCCUGACCGAGCAACGCCGCGGGAGUGAAGAAGGUUGUCGGAUCGUAAAGCUCUGUUGUAAGUUAAGAACGAGUGUGAGAGUGGAAAGUUCACACUGUGACGGUAGCUAACCAGAAAGGGACGGCUAACUACGUG